AAGAUUCGGCCCUUGGCCAAACCUCUCCAGCUGUGCGCUUCGGCUGCACGUUGGUUAAAACCUCACACACCUGUGAACAUUCCGGUUGUGGCCUGUCUUUUGGCAUCCCACUUCCGCCUUUACAUAAAACUACCAAGUCUAGAAUGUAAAAACUAUAAAGUAA
rnacentral:misc_RNA from 1 species